GAUACCUGAUUACACUGUCUAAGCUGUGGAGUGAGGGUUAGGAGAGAGUCAGGUGAGGACUCAGGGGAUGAGGCACUAUGAUUUGCGCGUGGGUGGGGACUCUCUGGAAAUGCCCCGGAGGGAAGGCUUAAGGGCUAGAAAGGCAUUUGGGGGCUGAAGGUGUCUGUCACACCGUAGUGAGCUAGCCACAUCUAAGGUAUAGUCGAAGUCUUUCUAAGUGCAGGUUUCUGCCCCUCCCGGUAGUCCCUUCCGCUACCCUUCAUCCGAUCGGAAGAAGCUUUUGAGCGUCACGCGCCUCCCUAGUAUGAAACGGUUAAAUGUAUUGGAAUUUUCAUCUUUUCACGUUUUAAAAAACAUACGAUAAGAAAAUCUGCAGAAUGUUUAGUUUUCGACUAUAAGUUUAAAUGUGGAGCGUGUCCAUCCUGGAGAAAAUAGGAGCAUGUGCCCUCGGGGAAACUUGAAGCUGUUAAAAGCUGGUGCCUUCUCUCAGUCCCUUCUCCACCUCACAAACCCAGUGCCCUUUCUAAUGCACCCUCUCAAUGUCUUUUCACCCUAUCCGUAAGCGUAGGCGUGCUCCGUUUUCUUACAACGAGGAUCCGUAACUCCCUAAUAAUCUCUGUUUGCUCUUUCCUCAUUUUAAUAUACUAGCUCUGCUGCCUCCAAAUUACACAUUUUGAAAAGUAAAAAUGUAGGGCUAGGAGAUGACACAGUAGCUAAUAUUCGAUAUGCAGAACCCUGGGUUGGAACUCAAGCACCCACUUUUUAAAAAGGUUGGUGUGCUUGGUGGAGUCUGUGACAUGGUAGGCCAGCAGAGACAGGAGACUCCCUGGACCUCAUUGGCCAGCAGGUUCAAUGAGAGAUGGGGGCCGACGACCCUACACCCACACAUGACAUACAUAUUUCUUAAAAUAAGAUGGGGCUUCCAGAUGGCUCCAUCAGUAAAGAAAAUUUACAUCUGCUCUAGAUCUGAUCAACCUUGAGAUUCAAUUGGUGGAGAAAACCAACUCUAGCAAGUUGCCCUCAGACUUUCACAGCGCUCCCUACCCCCGAACUAACGAAGUGCAAUAAAAAUU
rnacentral:lncRNA from 1 species